rnacentral:rRNA from 1 species
GACGAACGCUGGCGGCGUGCUUAACACAUGCAAGUCGAACGGAAAGGCCCUGCUUGCAGGGUACUCGAGUGGCGAACGGGUGAGUAACACGUGGGUGAUCUGCCCUGCACUUCGGGAUAAGCCUGGGAAACUGGGUCUAAUACCGGAUAGGAGCCAUUUUUAGUGUGAUGGUUGGAAAGUUUUUUCGGUGUAGGAUGAGCUCGCGGCCUAUCAGCUUGUUGGUGGGGUAAUGGCCUACCAAGGCGGCGACGGGUAGCCGGCCUGAGAGGGUGGACGGCCACAUUGGGACUGAGAUACGGCCCAGACUCCUACGGGAGGCAGCAGUGGGAAAUAUUGCACAAUGGGCGCAAGCCUGAUGCAGCGACGCCGCGUGGGGGAUGACGGCCUUCGGGUUGUAAACUCCUUUCGCUGGGGACGAAGCUUUUUGUGACGGUACCUAGAUAAGAAGCACCGGCUAACUACGUG